CUGCCCGCUUCAGCAGCACAUAUGCUAAAAGUGGAAUGAUGCAGAGGUUAGCGUGGUCCCUGCGCGAGAGGGACAUGCAAGUUCAUGAAGCGCUGCGUAUUCUU
rnacentral:snRNA from 1 species